GUGAACGCUGGCGGUAGGCCUAACCCCUGCCAGUCGCACGGCAGCACAGUAAGAGCUUGCUCUUACGGGUGGCGAGUGGCGGACGGGUGAGGAAUACAUCGGAAUCUACUUUUUCGUGGGGGAUAACGUAGGGAAACUUACGCUAAUACCGCAUACGACCUACGGGUGAAAGCAGGGGAUCUUCGGACCUUGCGCGAUUGAAUGAGCCGAUGUCGGAUUAGCUAGUUGGCGGGGUAAAGGCCCACCAAGGCGACGAUCCGUAGCUGGUCUGAGAGGAUGAUCAGCCACACUGGAACUGAGACACGGUCCGGACUCCUACGGGAGGCAGCAGUGGGGAAUAUUGGACAAUGGGCGCAAGCCUGAUCCAGCCAUACCGCGUGGGUGAAGAAGGCCUUCGGGUUGUAAAGCCCUUUUGUUGGGAAAGAAAAGCAGCAGGUUAAUACCCCGCUGUUCUGACGGUACCCAAAGAAUAAGCACCGGCUAACUUCGUG
rnacentral:rRNA from 1 species